UUAAGCGACUAAGCGUACACGGUGGAUGCCCUGGCAGUCAGAGGCGAUGAAGGACGUGCUAAUCUGCGAUAAGCGUCGGUAAGGUGAUAUGAACCGUUAUAACCGGCGAUUUCCGAAUGGGGAAACCCAGUGUGUUUCGACACACUAUCAUUAACUGAAUCCAUAGGUUAAUGAGGCGAACCGGGGGAACUGAAACAUCUAAGUACCCCGAGGAAAAGAAAUCAACCGAGAUUCCCCCAGUAGCGGCGAGCGAACGGGGAGCAGCCCAGAGCCUGAAUCAGUGUGUGUGUUAGUGGAAGCGUCUGGAAAGGCGCGCGAUACAGGGUGACAGCCCCGUACACAAAAAUGCACAUGCUGUGAGCUCGAUGAGUAGGGCGGGACACGUGGUAUCCUGUCUGAAUAUGGGGGGACCAUCCUCCAAGGCUAAAUACUCCUGACUGACCGAUAGUGAACCAGUACCGUGAGGGAAAGGCGAAAAGAACCCCGGCGAGGGGAGUGAAAAAGAACCUGAAACCGUGUACGUACAAGCAGUGGGAGCACGCUUAGGCGUGUGACUGCGUACCUUUUGUAUAAUGGGUCAGCGACUUAUAUUCUGUAGCAAGGUUAACCGAAUAGGGGAGCCGAAGGGAAACCGAGUCUUAACUGGGCGUUAAGUUGCAGGGUAUAGACCCGAAACCCGGUGAUCUAGCCAUGGGCAGGUUGAAGGUUGGGUAACACUAACUGGAGGACCGAACCGACUAAUGUUGAAAAAUUAGCGGAUGACUUGUGGCUGGGGGUGAAAGGCCAAUCAAACCGGGAGAUAGCUGGUUCUCCCCGAAAGCUAUUUAGGUAGCGCCUCGUGAAUUCAUCUCCGGGGGUAGAGCACUGUUUCGGCAAGGGGGUCAUCCCGACUUACCAACCCGAUGCAAACUGCGAAUACCGGAGAAUGUUAUCACGGGAGACACACGGCGGGUGCUAACGUCCGUCGUGAAGAGGGAAACAACCCAGACCGCCAGCUAAGGUCCCAAAGUCAUGGUUAAGUGGGAAACGAUGUGGGAAGGCCCAGACAGCCAGGAUGUUGGCUUAGAAGCAGCCAUCAUUUAAAGAAAGCGUAAUAGCUCACUGGUCGAGUCGGCCUGCGCGGAAGAUGUAACGGGGCUAAACCAUGCACCGAAGCUGCGGCAGCGACGCUGAUGCGUUGUUGGGUAGGGGAGCGUUCUGUAAGCCUGCGAAGGUGUGCUGUGAGGCAUGCUGGAGGUAUCAGAAGUGCGAAUGCUGACAUAAGUAACGAUAAAGCGGGUGAAAAGCCCGCUCGCCGGAAGACCAAGGGUUCCUGUCCAACGUUAAUCGGGGCAGGGUGAGUCGACCCCUAAGGCGAGGCCGAAAGGCGUAGUCGAUGGGAAACAGGUUAAUAUUCCUGUACUUGGUGUUACUGCGAAGGGGGGACGGAGAAGGCUAUGUUGGCCGGGCGACGGUUGUCCCGGUUUAAGCGUGUAGGCUGGUUUUCCAGGCAAAUCCGGAAAAUCAAGGCUGAGGCGUGAUGACGAGGCACUACGGUGCUGAAGCAACAAAUGCCCUGCUUCCAGGAAAAGCCUCUAAGCAUCAGGUAACAUCAAAUCGUACCCCAAACCGACACAGGUGGUCAGGUAGAGAAUACCAAGGCGCUUGAGAGAACUCGGGUGAAGGAACUAGGCAAAAUGGUGCCGUAACUUCGGGAGAAGGCACGCUGAUAUGUAGGUGAAGCGACUUGCUCGUGGAGCUGAAAUCAGUCGAAGAUACCAGCUGGCUGCAACUGUUUAUUAAAAACACAGCACUGUGCAAACACGAAAGUGGACGUAUACGGUGUGACGCCUGCCCGGUGCCGGAAGGUUAAUUGAUGGGGUCAGCGCAAGCGAAGCUCUUGAUCGAAGCCCCGGUAAACGGCGGCCGUAACUAUAACGGUCCUAAGGUAGCGAAAUUCCUUGUCGGGUAAGUUCCGACCUGCACGAAUGGCGUAAUGAUGGCCAGGCUGUCUCCACCCGAGACUCAGUGAAAUUGAACUCGCUGUGAAGAUGCAGUGUACCCGCGGCAAGACGGAAAGACCCCGUGAACCUUUACUAUAGCUUGACACUGAACAUUGAGCCUUGAUGUGUAGGAUAGGUGGGAGGCUUGGAAGUGUGGACGCCAGUCUGCAUGGAGCCGACCUUGAAAUACCACCCUUUAAUGUUUGAUGUUCUAACGUUGACCCGUAAUCCGGGUUGCGGACAGUGUCUGGUGGGUAGUUUGACUGGGGCGGUCUCCUCCUAAAGAGUAACGGAGGAGCACGAAGGUUGGCUAAUCCUGGUCGGACAUCAGGAGGUUAGUGCAAUGGCAUAAGCCAGCUUGACUGCGAGCGUGACGGCGCGAGCAGGUGCGAAAGCAGGUCAUAGUGAUCCGGUGGUUCUGAAUGGAAGGGCCAUCGCUCAACGGAUAAAAGGUACUCCGGGGAUAACAGGCUGAUACCGCCCAAGAGUUCAUAUCGACGGCGGUGUUUGGCACCUCGAUGUCGGCUCAUCACAUCCUGGGGCUGAAGUAGGUCCCAAGGGUAUGGCUGUUCGCCAUUUAAAGUGGUACGCGAGCUGGGUUUAGAACGUCGUGAGACAGUUCGGUCCCUAUCUGCCGUGGGCGCUGGAGAACUGAGGGGGGCUGCUCCUAGUACGAGAGGACCGGAGUGGACGCAUCACUGGUGUUCGGGUUGUCAUGCCAAUGGCACUGCCCGGUAGCUAAAUGCGGAAGAGAUAAGUGCUGAAAGCAUCUAAGCACGAAACUUGCCCCGAGAUGAGUUCUCCCUGACCCUUUAAGGGUCCUGAAGGAACGUUGAAGACGACGACGUUGAUAGGCCGGGUGUGUAAGCGCAGCGAUGCGUUGAGCUAACCGGUACUAAUGAACCGUGAGGCUUAACCUU
rnacentral:rRNA from 1 species